rnacentral:tRNA from 1 species
UGGGUUGUGGCUCAGUGGUAGAGCCCUUGCCUAGCAUGUGUGAGGUACUGGGUUCGAUUCUCAACACCUCAU